rnacentral:rRNA from 1 species
CCUACGGGGGGCAGCAGUGGGGAAUAUUGGACAAUGGGGGGAACCCUGAUCCAGCCAUGCCGCGUGUGUGAAGAAGGCCCUCGGGUUGUAAAGCACUUUCAGUGAGGAAGAACGCCUGGUGGUUAAUACCCAUCAGGAAAGACAUCACUCACAGAAGAAGCACCGGCUAACUCCGUGCCAGCAGCCGCGGUAAUACGGAGGGUGCGAGCGUUAAUCGGAAUUACUGGGCGUAAAGCGCGCGUAGGUGGCUUGAUAGCCGGUUGUGAAAGCCCCGGGCUCAACCUGGGAACGGCAUCCGGAACUGUCAAGCUAGAGUGCAGGAGAGGAAGGUAGAAUUCCCGGUGUAGCGGUGAAAUGCGUAGAGAUCGGGAGGAAUACCAGUGGCGAAGGCGGCCUUCUGGACUGACACUGACACUGAGGUGCGAAAGCGUGGGUAGCAAACAGGAUUAGAUACCCCUGUAGUC